CUAUAACUCACUUCAGCAGCAAAUAAAAUUGGAAUGCUACAAAGACGAUUAGCAUGGCCCCUGCACAGGAUGUUACACACAUUUUUAUUUUUUUAACCCUUUUA